CCCCCUCAGCCACCUCAUCCAUCUCCCAUUCCUCCGACCCAGCUCACGCAAACCCUAAAUCAAAAUUUUGGUUGAUUUAGGGUUUAUGCCUCAUCUUCCUUGUCUCUCUCUCACCUCGUUGGCUGUCUCAAUGAGCAGCCCGAUUCCAACUUAGGGUUUCCUCCAAAUUGAUUUAUACCAAUUCCACCAUCGUCACAAAGAGGCUCUCUAAGUCUCAGUCAGUAAACUCAUCUUCUCCUCCAACGCUGCCAACUCCAAUCUUUGCUUUCUCUCUUCGUCUUCAGUACUCGUUUCCGGUAGUUUUGGAGUGAAACGGCAUGGGUUCGCCUUGAAACCGACAACGAAGACGGUGAAUCUCUCGGUUAAGAUUCGUUAGACAGAUUACUUGAGAAACAGAGGUUCGGUGACUCUUCUUCUUCUUAGCCUUCAUACUCCUCGCAGAACGCUAAAGGAUCCCCUGCUAGAUUUUAUGUGGGUAAUUCGAUAUACAAAGGGAAAGCUGCGUUAAUAGUAGAUCUAAGAGCACCAGAGUUUGUGGCUUUAGACUCUGGAGCUUUCAAUUUGUCAAAAGAUGGUUUUCUACUGCUCCAGUUUGCUCCUUCAGCUGGUGUACGACAAUACGAUUGGACUAAGAAACAGGUAUUUUAAGGUGUUGCAUUGCUGCAUUGUUUCAUUUUAAAUGAAAACAUGUACUUUGGAGCCUAAAAAGAGCAAAAAGAAGGAUUCACAAGUUGCAGCUAUCAAAAGGAAGGAUCUAGUGUCAUUUAUGGGGUUUAAAUAAGAGGAUUUGAAGCAUCAAGAAGGAAAAGGGAGGCACCCGACCAUGCCAAAGAGCACCCGGUCGAGUUCAUGAAGAGACCCUCAAAGAUCGACUCGAAUGAAGCUUUUCCUUUGGGAUUCAGCUUCUGAGUUCUUUAUUAAAGUUAUAGGAAAUCGAGUAAGCUUUCCAAUGGUGGUGAUUUCAGGCCAAUCAGAGAUGCGGUUCAAGAGUUAUUUCUAUUUUAGUGAACGUAAAUACAUCAAGAUCAAAGAAUGGAACCACCCGAACGCCUAGCCGAUCAUGCACCCGAAGUGGAGCUUGAGCACCUGCUCGUGUAGACCUUCGGGUACCUUCUGACAUGGCUAGGUCAAGUGGUUUCCAUAUAUAAAGCCCCUCUUAACCACAUUUUUGACACAGAGGAGGCGAGAGCCGUUUUUACACUUCUCUUUGAGUAGAUUUUCCAUUUUUAUUAUUCUUUCAACUUGGAUUCUGUUUACAUUUUGCUAUUGCUUCGUUCUAAUUAAACAUUUAUCUCUUUUUCAUCUU